CAUUACAGAAUAUAGCUUGGCAUUCUCUUAAAUGAAAAAAUAAAGGACGACCUAUUUCCUACAGCAUACGAAAAAAUUACGUACCAAUUUGCAAAGCAUAAAUGUCACUGACAGAUAUAAAUGACCUAGCGUCUGGAAAGAAACAGAAUGUAUGGCAGAAAUAUCCUAUGAAAUCCUGAAGAUUUUCAGUUUCAAAGAGGCUCCCGUAACAAACGGGAUUCAUAAAGACCUGAGAUAUUGGCCUUUACUUCUCUCACAGCUGCUCUCAAGGGCUGCUAGCGGAAAACACGAAGGAUUGAAAGGAAAACUUUAAAUCGUCCUGAUGGGGCUAAUCAGGAAUGCAACGAUCGACCUCACGAGGCGAGACGUUCGCUGUCAGGAAAACAAAAUCAUAAAUACGUCUCGACAAUGUCUUCAUCGAGUAUCCAUGCUCAAUCUCGGCAGGAUAUUGAGGAGUAACAACCGCAGUAACAACGUCCUCAUUUCAUUCCAGAAAACGCUUCUGCUUCUUUUUAUAUUUUUACUUUUUUCCUGGAAUUGGAAUGUAGGACACUACGGAAUCGGUCUAUGUUCAAGCAAUGGUAUAUAGAAAGAAGAAGACGAGCAGAGGAUAUAUAGAAGAGAUUGAACAAAUCCAGACUCACUAUUAAAAAUUAAAUUUGCGAUACCGCUUUCAGAACCUGGCCCUGAUCCGAUUCGUUUUUCUCAUCGAUCCGAUCACAAGUAUAGAUUAAAAAGCGAAUGGAGGGUUCAAUUAAGCCAGUCCAAUAGCGCAAAGGGAAGCACAAUGAGGCGGAGAACAAGAAGGGCUGCCGACAAUUAAAAUAUUCGAUCAGAGUAGAAGAAGCGGUAUGAAUUAGCUUUAUCAACGGUGCGUGGUCAACAAGCUAACUUCACGCAUUGACAAUUCAGCCACAGCUUCAUGAAACAGCUGUCGCAGCCUAUCGCAAACUUCAUUCAAACAUAAUAAAUUGCGAAUGUGCGAGAGGAUAUCUUCAAAUUUUUGCAUCGAUCGUAAAAUUCAUGUCUUUUCCGAUGCGAACUUCAUCGAGCGAAGUUAGAUGAAUCAAGUUUGGACAGCAGGGAGAUGAGCGGUCUAAAGCAGCUUCAAGAAAGUUUCUGGCUUACUCUUGGGAUCGUGCUUGCCAACCGUCCAUAAAAUUACAGCCAGCUCGUAAAGAUGAGUCAAGACUGGACGUUUGCACUUUAAGAACAUUUGGAGCAUCCUGCGUAUAAAUAAAAAUCCGAUGAUUAUAAUAUAAACAUCAAUGGAUCUGAUUGAUGAUGUAUAAUAGUAAUUCAUUAAUGCGCUUUAGUAGCGAAAUACUAAUUUGUAAAUCAAUCUUACUGGCUACUCAUAUUUGAUUUCGUAAAUGGCAGAACUCUCCAAUUAGCAAAUGGAUUUUCUGCAGCAAAUACGACUGUGUGAAGCCAUAAAGCAACAGACCUUCCAUACUAAUGGGCAAACUAGCUUAUUAAUAAUUUUCUGAAAUUUUGAAUGGCCAUAAAGGUAUA